UACGUAGGGUGCAAGCGUUGUCCGGAAUUAUUGGGCGUAAAGAGCUCGUAGGCGGUCUGUCGCGUCUGCUGUGAAAAUCAGGGCUCAACCCUGGACCUGCAGUGGGUACGGGCAGACUAGAGUGGCGGUAGGGGAGAUCGGAAUUCCUGGUGUAAGCGGUGAAAUGCGCAGAUAAUCGAGGAGGAACACCGGUGGCGAAGGCGGAUCUCUGGGCCGUAACUGACGCUGAGGAGCGAAAGCAUGGGGAGCGAACAGGA
rnacentral:rRNA from 1 species